UACGUAGGGUGCAAGCGUUACUCGGAAUUACUGGGCGUAAAGCGUGCGCAGGCGGUUUUGUAAGUCUGUCGUGAAAUCCCCGGGCUUAACCUGGGAAUGGCGAUGGAGACUGCAAGGCUAGAGUUUGGCAGAGGGGGGUAGAAUUCCACGUGUAGCAGUGAAAUGCGUAGAGAUGUGGAGGAACACCGAUGGCGAAGGCAGCCCCCUGGGUCAAGACUGACGCUCAUGCACGAAAGCGUGGGGAGCAAACAGG
rnacentral:rRNA from 1 species